rnacentral:tRNA from 1 species
GGAGGGAUGACCGAGUGGCUAAGGAGCACGCCUGGAAAGCGUGUAGGACUUAACAGUCUCGCGGGUUCAAGUCCCGUUCCCUCCUCCA